GCUUAUUUCAUAUCAGCUUCACAAAUACAUUGAGUCCCUGAUGUAACUACAGUUCUGAUCUGUGACCAAUACAAUUCUGUCAGUGUGACUGUGCAGGUCUCUGGUCCCACAGUAUUUACCCAGCCAGGUGAACAUUUUAAUAAGCAGCCUUGUAUAUGGAAUGGGAGAGGAGUAAGCCAAUCCUGAUGGUGAGGAGAAGGAGAUAAGGAUUGUAUUGGAGGGAAGAAUUGUGUUUACAGGAGUGGCUUUGGAAUUAUUCUUUGGAAACCAUGCUGUAAGACAUGGGGUGGAGAGUAGCUCUAGUGGUCUUUGUCUCAAAGUUAAUUAAUGUGUUGGAAAUCUGUCACAGGAAAAAAACUCUGUAAAAUAACAGCUGCAAGAGAGAGAACUCAAGACCUAAAAAGUGGUAUGCGCUGUUCUUCACCACCGGAAAGCAAGCAUGAUAAUCAAACAACUAAAGCCAGAAGGCUGAAGAAAAAAGAAAGCACCUUUACUCUCUUUGAAGAAGGUUCAUCAUCGUUUAGGCAGCUUGAUGCCUCAGAAGACACAUCAGACAGCUCAAAGGAAUUGACAGUAGAAGUUCUGCCAACCAAACCGAGAGAUGCUGUGGUGCAAAUGACUUCCACCAUGCUGAUCAUGGAGGAAAAUAAAGUCCUUAAAAAUCUUGGUAAUGCUCAGCCUCUAGAGCUAGAUCUUAGCUUGUCACCGGUGUGUAAAGCCUCACGUGGGGAAGACCUGUUCCUGAAUACCACAGGUCCAUUUGUAAACUCAGAAGAAAUUGUUCCUGCAUCUCUGAGCUCAGAAAAAGAAAUUACUCCUCAGAAUCCAGAAGAAAAGAAUAUUUUAAAGCCUCAAUGUGACAGAGAAAUCUGCUCCAUCGUUAGACUGUCACCAGAUGCGAGGCCUUCCCGGCUCCAGAAAGUUCCAGUUAAAUCUAAAAAGUUCUGCCAUCCCAAAGAAGUGCCUGAAGAUACUAUAAUAUGUACCAAAAAUUGGAUCUACUGUAAACAGAGAUGAGAUUUUUCGCUCUCAGCGGGAGUUAACAGAAGAAAUGACUGUCUUGCUGCUUGACAGGGUGGUAAAACAGAACUCCUAACUCGUAAAUAAUGGUUAUAUGGUUUUUGUAUGAAUGUUGUUUGAAAUUUAGUAUUACGUGUUUCACUAAGAUAGUAAAUACUCAAAUACUUUAUAUUAAAGCAGCUAGAUCCUGCUCUGGGCAUUGUUCUGUAAGGAUUCCAUAAAGAUAAUUCUUCAAUUUGUUUAGAUUUUUAAAAAGUUUGACUGAAGAACAAGAGACCAAAUUCCUUUAAUUAAUUACUUUUGGCUCUCUCUGCCAAGAUUUCUGGUUUUCUCUAGUAGCAUUAGCAUCAAAAGAUGCUCUGUUUAAGUGUUGACUAUGAAGGUCAGUGUUAACAUGGAGUCCUGGGAGUGGCCACAAAAGCAUUCAUGUACUCUUGGAGACCCAGAAGUCAAUAGUAUGGCACCAUUAAACUCCUUGAGUGCUUAGGUCUGCAGAACUUUGGAGGUACAGGACUGUGAGUUCUGCUGUAAUUAGAUUUCUGAACAUGACUACAGGUCAUUUUCACUCCAUCAUCACCGAGAAUUGUCUCUUAAUGAUCAGCACUGUCACCAUUCUGGGCACAUCCACUGCCCAGCCACUGCCAUCUCAGAGUCCUUCCUGUUUCAUCUCAGGUAUUUUGUAAUACCACAUCACUUAGUCAUUCUCUCUUCUAGUGGCUUCAGACUUAAGAGAAAGUAAAUGCCUUACAUGAAGACAGUGAUGGGGAAAACCGUUUUACAGCUGAACUUUUUGAAGAGAUGGGUAUUGACAUUCUGGAUUUUCAGGUUACUGCUCACACUGUGUCCACAUAAGUCAGAUUCCCAGUGCUUCCAGUUCAGGUUGUGGAUUGUUAAUUCAUAAAUGUUGUUCUUAAUGUGCUGAAUGUCUCAGGAAACACUGUCAAGAACAAUUUUUUCCACUUGAAUUCUUUGCACAUUAAAGUUAUUUGGACCCCUA
ensembl:lncRNA